UCAAACAUUGGCGCCCCCGCGUGGCGGUGUCAUCGCGUGCAUUUUCAAUACAAACGUCACAUUCGAACGUCACGGUGUUGAUUAAAGUGUUGAUCAAAGGAAAGUGAUUUAUUCACGGAGCCCCCGUACUCUUAAUUGUCACCAAAAAAUACUAAUUAAGAAGAUAACUAAGUAGAAAAAGCGAUAAAAAAAAACUGAGUGUGAAAACUGGGCAGUGAUUCUCACUGCGCUUCAGAGAGUGUGACCUGCGCAAAGAAUGUCAGGUUCAUUGAGGUUCCAAACACAGCUACUCUCAGACACAUCCAGAUGGUAUGGAAUCACUCCUCCUAUCAGCGAAGACCUGCCUCUAGAGACUGACUUGAUCCAGACCAGGAAACUGAUUGAGUGUCUCAGAUCGUGUGACAUAUUUGAGGAUUAUCUGGAGCAGCAGCAUCGAGAAAAAGUGGUGAAAAGACUGGAGUCACUCUUCAAGGAAUGGCUCAAAGAAAUGUGUGUUGAGAUGAAUGUGCCAGAAAUUGUGAAGGAUAAUGUCGGAGGGAAGGUCCUGCCCUUCGGCUCUUACCGCCUGGGAGCUUAUUCAAAAGGCGCUGAUAUUGACAUCCUUUGCGUUGGACCUGGAUUUAUUGAAAGAAAGGAAUUCUUCAACUCCUUCUAUGGGAAGCUGAAAGCCCAGGAGGUGAAAAACAUACAGGCUGUUGAAGAAGCAUUUGUCCCUGUAAUCAAGCUUAUCUACGAUGGAAUUGAAGUUGAUAUGGUCAUUGCUGUGGUGGUACGAAAGUCCAUCCCUGAAAGUCUGAAUCUCCUCGACGACAAGCUUUUGCAGGACAUGGACAAAUGCAGCAUCAGGAGUCUCAAUGGUUACAGAGUUACUGAGGAAAUCCUCCACCUUGUGCCAAACAUUCACAACUUUCAGCUGGCUUUGAGAGCUAUCAAGCUGUGGGCCAAGCGUCGGAAUAUUUACUCCAACAUGUUGGGCUUUCUGGGUGGAAUAUCACUGGCCAUACUGGUGGCCAGAAUCUGUCAGCUCUACCCAAAUGCUGCAGCAUCAACACUGGUUAUCAAAUUCUUUAAGGUCUACUCUAUGUGGGAAUGGUCAAUCCCAGUGCGGUUGCGGAUUGUAGAGGACCGCCACUACAACCUCCCUUUUUGGGAUCCAACAUUGAAUAACAGUGACCGCUGUCACAUCAUGCCCAUCAUCACCCCAGCAUACCCUCAGCAGAACACAUCCUUCAAUGUUUCUCCUUCUACGCUGGCCAUUAUAACAGAAGAGAUUGCACGUGGUCACAGCAUCAUCCAAGAUAUAGAGCAGCAAAGAGCCGGCUGGUCCCAACUAUUUGAAAAAGCAAACUUUUUUGAGAAAUAUCAGCACUAUGUUUUGGUGCAAGUGACCUCUGCAGAGCAGCAGCAUCCUGAGUGUGUGAGUUUGGUAGAGUCUAAAAUCAGACACCUGGUGGGAAGUCUGGAGCGAAACCGGCAGAUAUUCAGGGCUCAUCUCCACACACAGUCCUUCCCUGGACCUAGAAAGACAAAUAACAAAGAGGAAGUGAGCACACAAUGGCUGAUCGGACUUCUUUUUAAUUUUGAGGGGAAAAUAGACCUGUCGCUGACCAUCCCUUCUUUCAUCGACACUAUCUACAGCCAAGCACAGAGCUCUAGGGUACAUACAGAAGGGAUGACCAUAUCAGCUGUAUGUGACAGCAGAGAUAAGCUUAACUGGUCGAUGCCUGAUGGCACGAGAAAGUCGGUUUUCUGUCCCGAAACAAAACCUGCGGUGAGCCACCAAUCCGCUGCCACAGUGCCAUCCACCCAAUAUGAUAAGCCAGUUAAAAGGAUGAAAGCCUCUUCAUCCACUUCAUCUUUUGUGAAUCCAUGUCCCACAAAGAGACCUUGUUCUCCCUCCUCUGUAGGAAGUUCAUCCAAUAUGCCAGAACCUGAUGGAAGUCCAGCUGUUGACACAAAAUCCAGCAACUCUAAAGAGACCCUGGCAACAGGUGGCUCACCCAGUAAUCUUUCUCACUGUGUAAGUGCAACAAGUGCCAAGAAACCUAAUCCAGCAGAGUCUGAAAAACUGGCAAAGAAGUUCAAACCUGACGAGAACCUCCCAACUGUCGAACUGUCAGACCUGCCGCUCAGCCCUGCCAAGCCUGUAAUGACAGUGAAACGUCCAAUUAAACUUCAUCUGAUCGGGUACAGCACACAUUGAUUUAUCAGGGUACUUUCAGGCUGUAAAGCUGCAGACUAAGAAUGUAAUUCCUUUGCAACACAAGAGGGCAGUCAAGCGUCUCAAACGGCCUUUUCCUCAACCACAGUAAAUGCACUUAUAUAUAUAUUAUACAAUCCUUCAGAUCAGGGUUUUUUUGUUUUGUUUGUUUGUUUGUUUGUUUUUUUUUUGUUUGUUUGUUUUUUACAUUAGUGAUCGCUGCAGAAGUCUCAGUCAAUAGAACACCGCUCUGUAUCUGUUAGUCUUUCAGUGCAAUCCACCAGCAAGCGUAAUGAACAACACUGACAGGUUGCAGGGUCUAGUAACGCUGUCGACCGUCUCCAGUGACUGUUGUCUCUGCUUCAUCUGUCCAGUACGGUGCAUAUGCUUUCCUGAUAAGGUUUGUUGGAGACUGGAGUCAAUCUUGUCCACACUGACGCAAGAUGACACGCACAGUUACAGGUCCAGGUCAUUAUGGAUCAAGCAAAACAACGCACUCUGCGUGCAACACAUGUGAUCAUGCGUUCGAGAUGGCUAUUUCUACUAGUAAUGCAGGAGUUGGGAAGCGUUUCCACAUGUAGUCACAAGAACGCAAACAAAAGUAAAUUUAAUCCAAACUCGGACCAAAAGAGAUAAAAAAAGCUAUUUAAAAUAUGUUUCGAGGAUUUGUAAAUCAAAAACACGAUACUAGAUUGGGCAUUCUAGUGUCUUUUUUGCUUUAUUGUCCAAAAUAAUUUUUCAACACGCGUCCUACAA